rnacentral:rRNA from 1 species
GCGCUCUCCACCGUCUCUUCCAUUACCAAAUAAAAAAGAGACCCCCGUUCACAAAAAAGGAGACCUGAACCAAUCCUAAUUUCUUUCUCAAUCUCAUCUCUCUCUCUUGAACUCCCAGGUCUCUCCGCAUCUCCCCAUGAUGACCAGAUCCAUGUCUCUCAAAUUGGAGCAAGGAAUUUGGGCAUGGAUCCAUCUCUCAAUCACGUCUCUCUCUUUCUCUCAAACUCUCAGGUCUCUUCUCUCCUCACCUCAAAUUGCAGCAAGGACUCUUUUAUCCUCACUUCAAAUUGCAUCAAGGACUCUUCUAUCCUCACCUCAAAUUGCAGCAAGGACGUUGGGGCGUGGAUCUCCUGCGCUCAACGAGGUUAUCGCAAUAAAUUAUUUUCCUCAUGUGGAUCAGAGAUCGGCUCGGGGCAGAACUAAGCCCAUAAGGCUAGCUUAUAAAUUAAGCCUGCAGCCUAACAUAGACCAUCUCAAAUCAAGGAGGCUCUGUUCGUUGUCAGCAUCGUCAUUGGUCAGAUUCUCCUAUUAGGUCAAAUUCUUUUGUUUUCAAUUGAAACAAUGGCAUACGAUAUGCUCGAUGCGAUUAACAAUGGGAAGGAUUCCUGGAAAGUGAAGGUCAGAGUAAUUAGGCUAUGGGACGCCAUUAACCUCAAUAACAAUGAACUAAUUAGCCUUGACAUGAUACUGCUUGAUGAACAGGGCACUAUGAUACAUGCGAAGGUAAUAAAACAUAUGGUUAACAAGUUUAGGCCAUUGAUCCAAGAAGGUUUAGUCUACAUGAUAGCAAAUUUCAAGGUUACAUCUGCCAUGAAUUUCUGUCCAGUUGAAGGCGACAAGAUUAUUAACUUCUUGCACACAACAAAAAUUCAAGAGAUUAAGGGACUUAAAAAUAUCAGAAUAGCAGAACAAAGUUUCAUGUUUUGUAGUGUUGAAGUUCUUUCCAGAAGAGAUGGCCAGAGGAUGUACUUAUCCGAUGUCAUUGGGGUAGCAAGUUAUAUAGGGAAUAUUGAAGAGACGGAGACAACUCAUGGGAUUUCCAAGAUUCGAGAUAUUGUACUUCGAAUUGAGGAUCAAAAAGUUAAUAUUAGACUCUGGGGCAAUAAGGUUGACCAAAUUGAUGAAGAUUCUAUGGGACGUGUUGUCAUAGUAACAUCAACAACGGUCAGAAAAUUGAAAGAGUACUCGCUGUCAUCUACAGGUGCGACCAAAGUAUAUAUCGAUUUGGAUAUCCUUGAAACAGCUGAGCUCCAAACGAGGUAUUGCUUGGAAGAUGAUAUCAUAGAGGAAACAGGGCCGGAAGCCCACUUGCAAGGAACAAUUCAAGAACAAAUGCUCUAUAACAGAAAUACACUAAGAGAAAUAACUGAAAUUGCAUAUGAAUCUGAAAAACAGGAAAAGUUCUAUACUGCAGAAGCAACCAUUAAGUCAAUUGAUACAUCAGAUGAGUGGUACUACAUAGGAUGCGGCAAAUGUAACAAAAAACUACAAAAAGAAGGGAAUCACUUCUACUGUCCAAAAUGUGAGAAAGAACCUGAGAAGACAUGUCCAAGGUACAAACUUAAGCUAGAGAUAUGUGAUCAUACUGCAACAACAACUUGCACCAUGUUUGAGACAGAAGCAAAAAAACUGAUUAAGCAAUCUGCAAGAUUCUUGAUAGAUAGGGAUGACUGUGAUAUCCAUGAGCACGAAGAAUUUUUUUAGAAAAUAUGUGGGCAGAGAUUGAUUUUUCAGUUCAGACUGAAUGACUAUAAUUUCAAGUACGGUUACCAAGAUUACACUGUUCAUAGAAUAUUUUUUAUGGACUCUGAAGAAGAUUCAUCGGUACAACACGUUAAUGUUGAACAGAACACUACAAAGGGCACUAAAAAGUCUAGGACUAGGAACACAUGUCGCGUUGUACAUUCUGAUGAAGAAUCAGAAGAGGAUAGCCAAGAGAAAGAUGAAUGCAAAUUCAAGGAAUCUAGACCCAAAAGAAAGCGUACAAUAAGCAUUACUGAAGAUGAAGAUUCCGAAAAAGAUGGAAUUGAGAAUUAUUCAAAGACCAGCAUAACGCUUACUGGUGUUGAUAAGGGAUCUAAGAAGAAAGGAAUUCAGAAUAAUAACCAUGAGCAAGUGAACAAAUUAUCACUUUCAAAAACUAUAAAGCAAGAAUCAGAGGAUGAUGAACUCACUAUUGACCAGACUAAAAGGGGUAGGAGACGGAGCACAAGUCGUGCUGCACAUCUUGACGAUGAAUCAAAAGCUGAAGGUAGUCAGGAAAUAAACAAAUCCAAAUAUAUGGAAUCAAGCCCCAAGAGGAAGCGUGUUGUACGCAAAUGUGCCGGUGUUGAUCAGGAGCACAAUGAUUCAAGGCCUAGGACAAGGCUUAGUUGUGUCGAUAAAAAAUCACUGAGCAAAGGCAUUCAGAAGUCUAGUGUAUUAAGGACUCGAAAGACAAGUCACUAAUUAGUGGAGAUCUGUUAAUUUAGGAUGUAGUACAAUAGAUGGGAAAAUCACAUUUGUACUAUAUGAACUUCAUCAUUGUUUAAGAUAUUUGUAAUAAACCUAAAGGCAUACCUUUGUGUUAGUAAGUUAUUAUUCUCUCUAUUAUUCAGAAGUAAAUGUUUGGUGUAAUUCUGAAUAGUCUAAA